GUCCACGCCGUAAACGAUGUCAACUAGCCGUUGGGAGCCUUGAGCUCUUAGUGGCGCAGCUAACGCAUUAAGUUGACCGCCUGGGGAGUACGGCCGCAAGGUUAAAACUCAAAUGAAUUGACGGGGGCCCGCACAAGCGGUGGAGCAUGUGGUUUAAUCGAAGCAACGCGAAGAACCUUACCAGGCCUUGACAUCCUAUGAACUUUCCAGAGAUGGAUGGGUGCCUUCGGAGCAUAGAGACAGGUGCUGCAUGGCUGUCGU
rnacentral:rRNA from 1 species